GCCGACUACGAGUAUUCUUGGGUGAAUAAUACUAUAUAAGCGUGUUAUUGCUUGAGAAUACACGUAAUUGCC
rfam:Lottia gigantea unplaced genomic scaffold LOTGIsca_112, whole genome shotgun sequence.